GGGGCUGAUUCUGGAUUCGACGGGAUUUGCGAAACCCAAGGUGCAUGCCGAGGGGCGGUUGGCCUCGUAAAAAGCCGCAAAAAAUAGUCGCAAACGACGAAAACUACGCUUUAGCAGCUUAAUAACCUGCUUAGAGCCCUCUCUCCCUAGCCUCCGCUCUUAGGACGGGGAUCAAGAGAGGUCAAACCCAAAAGAGAUCGCGUGGAAGGCCUGCCUGGGGUUGAAGCGUUAAAACUUAAUCAGGCUAGUUUGUUAGUGGCGUGUCCGUCCGCAGCUGGCAAGCGAAUGUAAAGACUGACUAAGCAUGUAGUACCGAGGACGUAGGAAUUUCGGACGCGGGUUCAACUCCCGCCAGCUCCACCA
rnacentral:tmRNA from 1 species